rnacentral:rRNA from 1 species
GAGUUUGAUCUUGGCUCAGAACGAACGCUGGCGGCAUGCCUAACACAUGCAAGUCGAACGAACUCUUCGGAGUUAGUGGCGCACGGGUGCGUAACGCGUGGGAAUCUGCCCUUGGGUACGGAAUAACUCAGAGAAAUUUGUGCUAAUACCGUAUAAUGACUUCGGUCCAAAGAUUUAUCGCCCAAGGAUGAGCCCGCGUAAGAUUAGCUAGUUGGUGGGGUAAAGGCCUACCAAGGCUACGAUCUUUAGCUGGUCUGAGAGGAUGAUCAGCCACACUGGGACUGAGACACGGCCCAGACUCCUACGGGAGGCAGCAGUGGGGAAUAUUGGACAAUGGGCGAAAGCCUGAUCCAGCAAUGCCGCGUGAGUGAUGAAGGCCUUAGGGUUGUAAAGCUCUUUUACCCGGGAUGAUAAUGACAGUACCGGGAGAAUAAGCUCCGGCUAACUCCGUGCCAGCCGCCGCCGU